CCUACACCGGAGGGCGAUGGUUCCCUCGCGGAUUAAAACGGGAACAUGGUGCGAAGCCAUGGCUGCCCCCGCAACUGUCAGCGCCGAGCCACCGCCAAGGGCCACCGGGUUCGCCCCCGGGAAGGCGGCGGAUGGUGAUGACGCGCGAGCCAGGAGACCUGCCAUCGUUGACGUCAGCGC
rnacentral:ncRNA from 1 species